AGUUGAUUCCCAGGUUCUGGAACUCCUAGUUCAAAUUCUUGAGUGAGGGGCUCUGGUGGACCAGCACAAGGGUCAGAUGCCUGCCAGUGAUCCAAUCAGCUGUUGACCCAGGAGGAGCGAGGUUAUUGAUAUAAACGGCUAAGACUGUACAGAGACGUGGCCUCUCAGAGAAGAAGGCAUGAACUAAAGAAGCAUUUGAAAAUGUGUUCAUGACAAGCAGAUUGCCUCACAUGAUCACUUCACUUAGUUAAAAGAUUUUCUCAUCACUCAUUGUGCUUCAAGAACUGUGAGGAGACUGAGAUUUAUUUGCAGACUAACAAAUUAGCCUACCACGACUUCAUGGAUGCUGGCAAAAGACAUGAAAUUCCUGGGACAUUACUCAUAGCAGAGCAAGGAGCAUGAGCCUCAUGUUUGCAUCAGUUGUCCUUGCUCCAGGAGUCCACUGCUGGGGGGAUGCAAAGGUGCCCAGGUUUUCUGUUGUUGGGGUAGUGCAUCGUCCCUUAUUCUUUACCUUAAACCCUGCCGCACCACUUAAAUGGACCCUUUAUUGGACUCUUCUCAAGGAGUGUACUUCCUGGACUGAUGGGCCAGACUUCUUCCCUUAAAUAAUUUUCUUUUGGAUAAAACUCUGUAUCAGGGAAUACCCUGGAAUUGAGUGAUGCCAUCACACAUUGGCGUUGGGGGUAUGAGCUAUUCUUACAACUCUAGAAUGUUUAUGCAAAGGAAGAAUGAUUCAGUCUGCCUGUAGUCAUUGUGCUAAGAUGAAUAAAUCCUUUCCUACUUUUGUUUUUCAAGUUCCUCUACUUUCGCUUUUUCCUCCGUGGCCGCUUCCUAUCUCAAAUGGAGAAAAUAACAGUACAGUAGAAGACAAUUCUUUUCAGUUACCAAGGCAAAUGUUUUUAAAUUCCCCUCUCCAGCAUGGAAGCUCCUUGAUCUUGGCACCGAUCAAGCAUUAAAUAAGAGCUUGAAGAAAAUUGUAUAAUUCCUGGAGGCUUAUGAAUAAACAUUCAAUGAACAGUAAAAUGGAAAGCCCCGAUUUUAGAAAGUGAGUGCGUCUUGCUCUGUUCAAAUGUUUGCUUUAAAAGCACUUAAGAAGUUCCUGCAGAAUCUCUUGCUCUCUUUUUCUAACAAAUCCUCCUUGCUCCUCCUCCAUGAAAGGUUGACGUUACCACAGGAGUUCAAAUAAAAUGGCAUGGUACAA